rnacentral:rRNA from 1 species
GUGGGGAAUAUUGGACAAUGGGCGCAAGCCUGAUCCAGCCAUGCCGCGUGAGUGAUGAAGGCCUUAGGGUUGUAAAGCUCUUUCGUCAGGGAAGAUAAUGACGGUACCUGAAGAAGAAGCCCCGGCUAACUUCGUGCCAGCAGCCGCGGUAAUACGAAGGGGGCUAGCGUUGCCCGGAAUCACUGGGCGUAAAGCGCACGUAGGCGGCUUUCUAAGUCAGGGGUGAAAUCCUGGAGCUCAACUCCAGAACUGCCUUUGAUACUGGAGAGCUUGAGUUCGGGAUAGGUGAGUGGAACUGCGAGUGUAGAGGUGAAAUUCGUAGAUAUUCGCAAGAACACCAGUGGCGAAGGCGGCUCACUGGCCCGAUACUGACGCUGAGGUGCGAAAGCGUGGGGAGCAAACAGGAUUAGAUACCCGUGUAGUCC